AGAGUUUGAUCAUGGCUCAGGAUGAACGCUGGCGGCGUGCUUUAAGCAUGCAAGUCAAGGGGCCAUAGCAAUAUGGUACCGGCGGACGGGUGAGUAACGCGUGGGAAUCUUCCCAGAAGAGGGGCAUAGCCAGCCGAAAGGUUGGGUAAUUCCCCAUGUGAUCGAAAGAUUAAAGGCGCAAGCCGCUUCUGGAUGAGCCCGCGUCCUAUCAGCUUGUUGGUGGGGUAAAAGCCUACCAAGGCGACGACGGGUAGCUGGUCUGAGAGGAUGGUCAGCCACAAUGGGACUGCGACACGGCCCAUACAUCUACGGAUGGCAGCAACUGGGAAUCAUGGACAAUGGACGAAAGUCUGAUCCUGCGACGCCGCGUGGAGGAUUGAAGGCCUUAGGGUUGUAAACUCCUUUUGCAUAGGAAGAUUAUGACGGUACUAUGCGAAUAAGCACCUGCUAAUCACGUGCCAGAAGCCUCGGUAAUACGUGAGGUGCGAGCGUUAUCCGGAUUCAUUGGGCGUAAAGAGUUGCGUAGGCGGAUUUGCGCAUUUUGUUUAAAAGCCCGGAGCUCAACUCCGGUUUUGGGCAAAAUAUGGCAAAUCUAGUAGGAUAGAGAGGGUACUGGAACUGAUGGUGUAGCAGUGAAAUGCGUUGAUAUCAUCAGGAACACCAAAGGCGUAGGCAGGUACCUGGCUAUCUCUAGACGCUGAGGCACGAAAGCUAGGGGAGCGAAGCAGAUUAGAGACCUGCGUAGUCCUAGCCGUAAACGAUGGAUGCUAGUUACCCGGGGUUUCCUGGGUGACGCAAGGUAACCCGUUAAGCAUCCCGCCUGGGGAGUACGAGCGCAAGCUUAAAACUCAAAGGAAUUGACGG
rnacentral:rRNA from 1 species